rnacentral:rRNA from 1 species
UACGAGGGGGGCAAGCGUUGUUCGGAAUUAUUGGGCGUAAAGGGUGCGUAGGCGGUGCGGUAAGUCUGUUGUGAAAUCUCCGGGCUCAACUCGGAGUCUGCAUCAGAAACUGCCGUGCUGGAGUGUGGGAGAGGUGAGUGGAAUUCCCAGUGUAGAGGUGAAAUUCGUAGAUAUUGGGAAGAACACCGGUGGCGAAGGCGGCUCUCUGGACCGACACUGACGCUGAGGCGCGAAAGCGUGGGGAGCAAACAGG